rnacentral:snoRNA from 1 species
CUGUGAUGAAUUAAACCUAAAAUAUAGCUGGAAUUACCGUCAGAUUGUAGGUGGUGAUACUGGUUUUCUGAGA